rnacentral:tRNA from 1 species
GCCUCAGUAGCCCAGUGGUAGAGCGUUUGCCUAGUAUCCGGUUGGUGCGGUGGUAGCAAAAGGUCCAGUGUUCGACUCACUGUUGAGGCA